rnacentral:misc_RNA from 1 species
GAUGAAGAACGUAGCGAAAUGCGAUACGUAAUGUGAAUUGCAGAAUUCAGUGAAUCAUCGAGUCUUUGAACGCACAUUGCGCCCCCUGGUAUUCCGGGGGGCAUGCCUGUCCGAGCGUCAUUGCUGCCCUCAAGCACGGCUUGUGUGUUGGGCCCCGUCCUCCGAUCCCGGGGGACGGGCGCGAAAGGCAGCGGCGGCACCGCGUCCGGUCCUCGAGCGUAUGGGGCUUUGUCACCCGCUCUGUAGGCCCGGCCGGCGCUUGCCGAUCAACCCAAAUUUUUAUCCAGGUUGACCUCGGAUCAGGUAGGGAUACCCGCUGAACUUAAGCAUAUCAAUAAGCGGAGGA